rnacentral:lncRNA from 1 species
AGUGGUUCGGGGAAAGUAAUGUAGUCAUGUUUUAUUUAUUUAUUUAUUUAUUUAUUUAUUUAUUUAUUUAUUUUUACUUUUUUUUAAAGUCCUAAUGUUCAAUGUGAAGAAAGCAAUUGCUUACCACAAACCUUGAUCCAACUACCCAGGAGUUUGACAUACUACAUGGCACCAGGUUCUGUGCUACACACUGGUGUAGUAAAAAUUGUGAUGCUCCACUCUUCUCAGGAUUGUCUAGCUGUAACAAGCUUAAAGAGGCCAACCAUCCACAAAGGAAACUUCCAGUUAGUACAAUAUCUCAGAAAGAAAACAAUGUCCCCCUGCUUGCUCACCAACAAAAGGAACGUGCAGAUCCAUGGAUUACCACGCACAGUUAGAUGCAGUCUGGCUGGAACAGACAGGAGAAGCCAGUUUGUAUCAGAGCAGUUAACUUGGCUUCCACUCCUGCCGCUCUCCGCAUCCCACGUCGGCUGUAUAUCACUCCAUUAACUACAGCAAUGGGUAUUUGCACUCAAUAAAUGUGUGUGGGUG